rnacentral:rRNA from 1 species
AUGGCUCAGGAUGAACGCUAGCUACAGGCUUAACACAUGCAAGUCGAGGGGCAGCAUGAGAUUAGCUUGCUAAUCUUGAUGGCGACCGGCGCACGGGUGCGUAACACGUAUCCAAUCUACCCAUGGCUCGGAGAUAGCCUUUCGAAAGAAAGAUUAAUACCCGAUGGUCUGCGAUUGAGACAUCUCGAUUGCAGUAAAGACUUGUCGGCGAUGGAUGGGGAUGCGUCCGAUUAGCUAGUUGGCGGGGUAACGGCCCACCAAGGCGACGAUCGGUAGGGGUUCUGAGAGGAAGGUCCCCCACACUGGAACUGAGACACGGUCCAGACUCCUACGGGAGGCAGCAGUGAGGAAUAUUGGUCAAUGGGCGAUGGCCUGAACCAGCCAAGUAGCGUGAGGGACGACGGCCCUACGGGUUGUAAACCUCUUUUGUAUGGGAAUAAAGUGAGGCACGUGUGCCUUUUUGUAUGUACCUUACGAAUAAGCAUCGGCUAAUUCCGUGCCAGCAGCUGC